rnacentral:sRNA from 1 species
ACCUGUACCGGGGCGAGAGCAGGGCGCCUCGGUAGCAGAAAGAACAAACACCGUGCCACGGAAUGAGUGCGCACAUAUGGGCGUU